GACGAACGCUGGCGGCGUGCUUAACACAUGCAAGUCGAACGGAAAGGCCCCCUUGUGGGGUACUCGAGUGGCGAACGGGUGAGUAACACGUGAGUAACCUACCCUUGACUUUGGGAUAACUUCAGGAAACUGGGGCUAAUACCGGAUAGGAGCUCCUGCUGCAUGGUGGGGGUUGGAAAGUUUCGGCGGUUGGGGAUGGUCUCGCGGCUUAUCAGCUUGUUGGUGGGGUAGUGGCUCACCAAGGCUUUGACGGGUAGCCGGCCUGAGAGGGUGACCGGCCACAUUGGGACUGAGAUACGGCCCAGACUCCUACGGGAGGCAGCAGUGGGGAAUAUUGCACAAUGGGCGGAAGCCUGAUGCAGCAACGCCGCGUGCGGGAUGACGGCCUUCGGGUUGUAAACCGCUUUCGCCUGUGACGAAGCGUGAGUGACGGUAAUGGGUAAAGAAGCACCGGCUAACUACGUG
rnacentral:rRNA from 1 species